rnacentral:misc_RNA from 1 species
CAACAAGGCCAUGGGCCCCCCGGCGCCCCGGCGCUGGAGGGUGCCGGCCUGACUUACACACCCACCCUUUGCCUAUGUGUACCUCUAUCGCUUCCUCGGCAGGCCCGCCUGCCGCCAGGAACCACGUAAACCCUUUGCAUCAUACAUCAACUCUGAUACCAACCAAAAACUAUUA